GACGAACGCUGGCGGCGUGCUUAACACAUGCAAGUCGAACGGAAAGGCCCUGCUUUUGUGGGGUGCUCGAGUGGCGAACGGGUGAGUAACACGAGAGUAACCUGCCCUUGACUUUGGGAUAACUUCAGGAAACUGGGGCUAAUAACGGAUAGGAGCUCCUGCUGCAUGGUGGGGGUUGGAAAGUUUCGGCGGUUGGGGAUGGACUCGCGGCUCAUCAGCUUGUUGGUGGGGUAGUGGCUUACCAAGGCUUUGACGGGUAGCCGGCCUGAGAGGGUGACCGGCCACAUUGGGACUGAGAUACGGCCCAGACUCCUACGGGAGGCAGCAGUGGGGAAUAUUGCACAAUGGGCGGAAGCCUGAUGCAGCAACGCCGCGUGCGGGAUGACGGCCUUCGGGUUGUAAACCGCUUUCGCCUGUGACGAAGCGUGAGUGACGGUAAUGGGUAAAGAAGCGCCGGCUAACUACGUG
rnacentral:rRNA from 1 species